rnacentral:rRNA from 1 species
GACGGAGGGUGCAAGCGUUGUUCGGAAUUACUGGGCGUAAAGCGCGUGUAGGCGGCUCGCUAAGUCUGAUGUGAAAUCCCGGGGCUCACCCCCGGAAGUGCAUUGGAAACUGGCGAGCUCGAGUCCCGGAGAGGAGGGUGGAAUUCCUGGUGUAGCGGUGAAAUGCGUAGAUAUCAGGAGGAACACCGGUGGCGAAGGCGGCCCUCUGGACGGUGGCUGACGCUGAGACGCGGAAGCGUGGGGAGCAAACAGG